ensembl:snRNA U4 U4 spliceosomal RNA
AUGCUUGCGCAGUGGCAGUAUCAUAGCCAAUGAGGUCCAACCGAGGCGUGAUUAUUGCUUUGAGCUCAAGCGGAAGCUUGAUAAAAGUGAAGGAGCUGUGUUCCCAUAAGCUGCUGGCUUAUUUUUUGUCAGGGGCUUUGCACAUGCUC